GUGACUGCUGGGCUAUGUAGCUACCAUGAAACGGUCGCCCUGACCCUUGACCAAAUGCUUCGGCUCUCAUCCGAAGGCCACAGCAUCAGAAACCUUCACACCAAGUAUGCUGGGUCCCACCCUGGACCUUUCCAGUUGUAGUCUCUGGGAGAUGAGGCUAGCUUCUGCAUCCAGCUGUUUUCCCAGGUUUCCUUCCUUCCCUGAUGGCUACAUGCUGGGCAAGCAUCAACCUGACAACCCCCAUCUCAGCAAGCUCACCCUGAGAGGGAACACAGUGGUUUCAAUAAUUCGUCCUGCUUGACAGACUGAGGGGAACACUGGAUGGAGCCUAGAAGCCUUCCUCAUAAACCACAGCCGUCAAUUAAAAAAUGAAAAAAAAAAAAAAAAAAAAAAAAGCAAGCAAGAAAACCUGUGAAGCACACUUCUCUGGCCUGACUUACCAUUUUCUUUGAUCCAUUAAAGAUCCAAAAGCAAGCCCUUCUUCAUCUCUGGAGUGCGAGGCAAGGAGGGAAUAAUUAUCCAUAAAGUGGUCUUCCAAGUGUUUGUUUUGUGAUGAAAGAAAACUUUUGAGAGCCUGGAAGAAAGACAGAAUAUGUGAGUCUCUCCAGACGCCAUCAGUAAUAAUAUUAAUGAAUUAAUGAUUUACCCGAGUCUUAUAUGUCUAUUUGCUUUGCUGCUCAUAAGCAUACAUCGUUUCCAUAGUAACCUUGACAUCAGACCAAACUCCAUCGCUCUGGGAACCAAAGGGCAGCUCUCAAGGAAAAGCAUACAGUCUCGCUUGCUCUUUUCAGUGUUUGCCAAUGGGAAAAUGAUAAAUUGAUAUGUUCUAAAGGA